UACGAAGGGGGCUAGCGUUGUUCGGAUUUACUGGGCGUAAAGCGCACGUAGGCGGUUUGUUAAGUCAGGGGUGAAAUCCCAGAGCUCAACUCUGGAACUGCCUUUGAUACUGGCAAGCUCGAGUCCGGAAGAGGUAAGUGGAACUCCUAGUGUAGAGGUGGAAUUCGUAGAUAUUAGGAGGAACACCAGUGGCGAAGGCGGCUUACUGGUCCGGAACUGACGCUGAGGUGCGAAAGCGUGGGGAGCAAACAGG
rnacentral:rRNA from 1 species